rnacentral:rRNA from 1 species
CAGCCGCCGCGGUAAUACGAGGGGGGCAAGCGUUGUUCGGAAUUAUUGGGCGUAAAGGGUGCGUAGGCGGUUUGGCAAGUCUUAUGUGAAAUCUUCGGGCUCAACCCGAAGUCUGCAUGAGAAACUGCCGGGCUUGAGUAUGGGAGAGGUGAGUGGAAUUUCCGGUGUAGCGGUGGAAUGCGUAGAUAUCGGAAGGAACACCUGUGGCGAAAGCGGCUCACUGGACCAUAACUGACGCUGAGGCACGAAAGCUAGGGGAGCGAACGGGAUUAGAUACCCCCGUAGUCCCUGUCUCUUAUAC